CAAUCAAACCGGGAGAUAGCUGGUUCUCCCCGAAAGCUAUUUAGGUAGCGCCUCGUGAAUUCAUCUCCGGGGGUAGAGCACUGUUUCGGCUAGGGGGCCAUCCCGGCUUACCAACCCGAUGCAAACUGCGAAUACCGGAGAAUGUUAUCACGGGAGACACACGGCGGGUGCUAACGUCCGUCGUGAAGAGGGAAACAACCCAGACCGCCAGCUAAGGUCCCAAAGUCAUGGUUAAGUGGGAAACGAUGUGGGAAGGCCCAGACAGCCAGGAUGUUGGCUUAGAAGCAGCCAUCAUUUAAAGAAAGCGUAAUAGCUCACUGGUCGAGUCGGCCUGCGCGGAAGAUGUAACGGGGCUAAACCAUGCACCGAAGCUGCGGCAGCGAACGUAUCACCCAAGACAACUUUACGGAGUUGACGAUUGACGGAGCGAAGCGACGUCAAAGCGUUCAUUAAAGUCGAGUUGGCUUAGGGAUACGUUCGUUGGGUAGGGGAGCGUUCUGUAAGCCUGUGAAGGUGUGUCGUGAGGCAUGCUGGAGGUAUCAGAAGUGCGAAUGCUGACAUAAGUAACGAUAAAGCGGGUGAAAAGCCCGCUCGCCGGAAGACCAAGGGUUCCUGUCCAACGUUAAUCGGGGCAGGGUGAGUCGACCCCUAAGGCGAGGCCGAAAGGCGUAGUCGAUGGGAAACGGGUUAAUAUUCCCGUACUUGGUGUUACUGCGAAGGGGGGACGGAGAAGGCUAUGUUGGCCGGGCGACGGUUGUCCCGGUUUAAGCGUGUAGGUGUGUGUUCCAGGUAAAUCCGGUUCACUUUAACACUGAGGCGUGACGACGAGGCACUACGGUGCUGAAGCAACAAAUGCCCUGCUUCCAGGAAAA
rnacentral:rRNA from 4 species